GGGGAAUUGGAGUCAGCUGGCUCCUUUGUGAAGGGGAAAGAGUCAGGGCUCUGAGGAGCUGCCCCACAAGAAACACCGAGAAGGUCUGGAUGGAAACACAGCCACAAUCUUCCAAUGAAGCAAGCUGAUUUUUCUCCCUGAUGGGCUGAAGAAGCACAGGUUGUCCUGGUCAAUGAGGCCUGCCUUCUCUGUGAUGUUCAGACAUUUUCUGGGAAAUUGCCAUGGCAAGAAAAAUUGCAUCUCUCCUCUCCUCCUCCUUCUCCUUUUCUCUCCCUGCGAAGAAUAUUGUUUGUGAAAGGUGCGUAUUUUGGGUAGCAGCUGCAAUCAACAGUGUGAUAGAUGGUUAGUUUUAUCAGCAGUGGUUUAGUGCAUAAGCCAAGUUCUAGCUCUGAAAGUGAAAUUAGAGUUGUCAGGCCUCACGCUGUCCCACUGCUGACCACUGAAGAUUUACUAAGCCUUUGUUGGUUGCGUUUUUGAGAAGCUUUUGGUGAAGGCAGCAGACUGAAGCUCAAGAUGAUUCUAUACAUCAACUUCCUCCUAGUCCCAGCAUGGUCUUCCAAAUGGUCUCACUCCUGGGUGAAACAACUUCUAUUUCAGCCAAGGUACCAGGAUGAGGAGGGCUGCAUUGGGUGUGACUGUGUUUAUGUACACAGAUUACUGAGAAACCAAGUAAGAAUGCAGCUGUAAGCCUUUAAAGCAGCAUGCCAUGGAAAAAUAAACCACAAAGUGUGUAUGUGCAUGGGGGAAUGUACCCAGUGUUUUGCACAUUCCAGCAGAGGCCUCAGUAAAGACUGGAAUUUUAAUUCUCAUCUGACAACAUUCCACAAAGACAACUUGCAUUGCCUUCCUGUUUCCCCCUCCCAGGAGAUUAAUGUAAAAAAGAUAUUGGCUGAUUAUUUAUUCUGCCUUGGCUAUCAAAUAACUGUGGGAGUGCCAGCACUCAGAGUAGCUAGAGUACUUUUGGUUAGUUCCUGAUCUGGCUUUUCUGGGUUUCGUUAGUGUUAGCUGAUUUUCUUCCUUUAUAUUGCCAUUGAAAAUUAAGAUUAGCAAUGUCUCCAACUACACUUGAAUCUCUGUAGGGACUCUUCAAGUUUCUUUUAACUAACCACAUGCCUGUUGAUGUAGUAUGAGGUAGGAAAGGGGUGAGGCAAUGACUCAUGUAAACUUCUUAACAGCACAAUUAAAGUACAAAAUCCCACCUAUCCCAGUAGGAACAAAGAUCUUGAGCUGCACAACCUGCUGUACAGUAUUCUUAUAUUUGUUCAAAGUUUUUUUUGUUCUGAAUACAAAUAUGGAAAGUAGGCCCAUGUUCAAGGAAUUUGAAUGAAGGAACUGUUGAUUUUGGAACUGACAUCAGUGUGAGAUCAGGAGACUUUGCACACAGUCCUCUGUUAAUUUCUGGAUUACAAAAUAUAUACAAUGAGGUGCAGAAGUCUGUUUCCUCUGUAUAAGUGGGCCUGGCAGCAGGGUUAUUUCAGCCAUAGCUCAUGACUAAAAUAGUCAGUUAGUUAGUUGUAUAGCUGAAUUCAUAAAACAAUGAGUCUAACCACUUCAAAUAAGGAGGCUUUUUCCCCUCUUCUAAUUCUAGUACUAGUCUCAAUAAAACAACUUCAUUGCAGAAACUUUUGUUUUGCACUGUUAAAAAAAUGUGUCAUCUUAGGAAAAAAAAACACUGUCAGCAAGAGAAUACCUUCUCUGUUCUCUGUCUUCUAAUUGAUAGUCUGCAAUAAUCCAUGUGUCUCUGUGUGCUGUUAUAUGAGUCCAAAUCUGGCUAACUCAGACUCUUAGCCCACACAGCCUUGCAGAGACAGAAAUAAAAGAUGAGAAGCGCUCUUCUCCACAUGGGACAGGAUGUUUAUUGACUUGGGACAGGAUGCUGCUGGUUGCAGCGAACACCCAUGUAGAAAAGAAGCCGUAGACCACCUGCCGUGGAGUUUUAUACCCGAGGCAUGGGGGCAGGGAAAGAGGA